rnacentral:rRNA from 1 species
GACGAACGCUGGCGACGUGCUUAACACAUGCAAGUCGAGCGGUAAGGCCCUUUCGGGGGUACACGAGCGGCGAACGGGUGAGUAACACGUGGGUGACCUGCCCUCAGCUCUGGGAUAAGCCGUGGGAAACCGGGGUCUAAUACUGGAUAUGACUCCAUGACGCGAUGUUGUGGGGUGGAAAGCCUUGUGCGGCUGAGGAUGGGCCCGCGGCCUAUCGAGC